CAGUUUCUAUUUGUUGCGGACAGAUAAAGUGAAUGUGACUAUCAAUAGCUCCUGCAGUAAUAAUGCUUCCUUCUCCUGCGAUUGCUUCAGUACUGGCGCCUACAAUAAUGUUGACACCUUCUUGAGUAUCCGGAUUUCCAGCUUUUCCGAUACCUGAGAUUUUUCCGUCUUUGAUGCCAAUAUCAGCUUUAACAAUUCCCCACCAAUCCAAAAUUAGCGCAUUUGUGAUAACUGUAUCUACUACUCCAUUGUCUCUACUUUGUUGUGAUUGUCCCAUCCCAUCACGA
rnacentral:sRNA from 1 species